GAAAUAUAUAAAUUUAAGCUUCUAACUUAAUCAAUAGUGAUUAAAUUCAUUAAUAUUUCU
rnacentral:tRNA from 1 species